UACAGAGGGUGCGAGCGUUAAUCGGAAUUAUUGGGCGUAAAGCGCACGUAGGCGGUUUGUUAAGUUGGAUGUGAAAACCCUGGGCUCAACCCUGGAAGUGCAUCCAAGACUGACAAGCUAGAGUAUCGGAGGGGGUCGGAGAAUUCCCGGUGUAGAGGUGAAAUUCGUAGAUAUCGGGAGGAACAUCUGUGGCGAAGGCGCCGACCUGGACGAAAACUGACGCUGAGGUGCGAAAGCAUGGGGAGCAAACAGG
rnacentral:rRNA from 1 species